rnacentral:rRNA from 1 species
UACGUAGGGACCAAGCGUUGUUCGGAUUUACUGGGCGUAAAGGGCGCGUAGGCGGCCCGUCAAGUCCCGUGUGAAAGCCCCCGGCUCAACCGGGGAACGGCGCGGGAAACUAGCAGGCUUGAGUUCGGGAGAGGGAAGCGGAAUUCCGGGUGUAGCGGUGAAAUGCGCAGAUAUCCGGAGGAACACCGGUGGCGAAGGCGGCUUCCUGGACCGACACUGACGCUGAGACGCGAAAGCGUGGGGAGCGAACAGG